rnacentral:rRNA from 1 species
CCCUUAGAUGUUCUGGACUGCACGCGUGCUACAAUGGCGUUUCCAGCAAGUCUGCGAACCCGAGAGGGCCAGCGGAUCUUCGAAUUGGCGUCGUGAUCGGGACAGUCGAUUGCAAUUAUUUGACUCAAACGAGGAAUUCCUUGUAAUCGCGAUUCAUCAUAUCGCGCUGAAUACGUCCCUGCCCUUUGUACACACCGCCCGUCGCUCCUACCGAUUGAGCGAUCCGGUAAAUGUUUUGGAUUGGUGCCGGGGCGGCUAGCUGCCGGUCGCUACGAAAUUUUGUGAACCUUAUCGCUUAGAGGAAGGAAAAGUCGUAACA